AUUGAACGCUGGCGGCAGGCCUAACACAUGCAAGUCGAGCGGAUGAAGGGAGCUUGCUCCUGGAUUCAGCGGCGGACGGGUGAGUAAUGCCUAGGAAUCUGCCUGGUAGUGGGGGAUAACGUCCGGAAACGGGCGCUAAUACCGCAUACGUCCUGAGGGAGAAAGUGGGGGAUCUUCGGACCUCACGCUAUCAGAUGAGACUAGGUCGGAUUAGCUAGUUGGUGGGGUAAAGGCCUACCAAGGCGACGAUCCGUAACUGAUCUGAGAGGAUGAUCAGUCACACUGGAACUGAGACACGGUCCAGACUCCUACGGGAGGCAGCAGUGGGGAAUAUUGGGCAAUGGGCGAAAGCCUGAUCCAGCCAUGCCGCGUGUGUGAAGAAGGUCUUCGGAUUGUAAAGCACUUUAAGUUGGGAGGAAGGGCAGUAAGUUAAUACCUUGCUGUUUUGACGGUACCAACAGAAUAAGCACCGGCUAACUUCGUG
rnacentral:rRNA from 1 species